rnacentral:piRNA from 1 species
UCACUAAGUCAACCAACCCAA